rnacentral:rRNA from 1 species
AGUGAACGCUGGCGGUAGGCCUAACACAUGCAAGUCGAACGGCAGCACAGUAAGAGCUUGCUCUUACGGGUGGCGAGUGGCGGACGGGUGAGGAAUACAUCGGAAUCUACUUUUUCGUGGGGGAUAACGUAGGGAAACUUACGCUAAUACCGCAUACGACCUACGGUUGAAAGCAGUGGAUCUUCGGACCUUGCGCGAUUGAAUGAGCCGCUGUGGGAUUAGCUAGUUGGCGGGGUAAAGGCCCACCAAGGCGACGAUCCGUAGCUGGUCUGAGAGGAUGAUCAGCCACACUGGAACUGAGACACGGUCCAGGCGCCUACGGGAGGCAGCAGUGGGGAAUAUUGGACAAUGGGCGGAGGCCUGAUCCAGCCAUACCGCGUGGGUGAAGAAGGCCUUCGGGUUGUAAAGCCCUUUUGUUGGGAAAGAAAAGCAGCAGGUUAAUACCCCGCUGUUCUGACGGUACCCAAAGAAGAAGCACCGGCUAACUUCGUG